CAUCCCUUUAAUGGAAAGAACAGCAAACUACAGGAGAGCCCAGUAUAACUCCCUCUUUCCAAAAAAGGGGCGGAGAAUGGAUUAUGUGGCAAAACCGUGGUUUGUCCUGAGGAGAAUCUGUACACUGUGCAUGCUCUGCCAGCUCUCACACUUCAUUAUUCAACACAUACACACACUCACACACACAUACCGAAAGCACAGAAAAGCUCUUUGGGCUUCUGAGAGGAUGUAUUUUUAGAGUGAUGAAAUCUCAUGACCAGACUGAGGCUGCAUGUCUCACUCUUUGCACCAGGCACUGUCCUUCCACCAUCUCUCAUCCGCUCACUCAAGACCUUCACCGGAUAAUGAGGCAAUGUGGGUGGAAGCAGCAACACAGUAGAGAUCCUGAGCAUGUUUGUAAAGGACAGAGCAGCCCGCUGGUAUUCUGCCAAACCAGAGCUCCAUGUGCUAUCAGGGUCUGGAGAGAGAAGCCCUUGCUGCACUGAAUGGAAUUGCUGCAAAUUCAUGCUUGUGUGCCCAAGAACAAACCAAAGGAAUGUUUGACUAUGUGUGUCGGUGAUGUAAAAAAAAAGAAGGAAUAAGAAAAUGACUAAGAAUGUUCUUUUGUGUAUAUGUUUGUGCUUGUAUUGCAUCUGAUAGAAACCACAGCAAAGUAAGCCUUGCCUUUGGCUUCUGGCUCAAAUGACCGGAUACAGGAUGUGAUAAAGCAUUUGUCUGCUAGUGUUAUACAUUACGCUUGUGAUCACAGAAUCUACUUAUAUAACACAGUGUAGGCAACAAAAGCAUUAGACAGAAGCACCACAGGCAGUCAUUUUCUCUUUAAACUAGAACACCCAUACUGCCAGAAAUGUGGUGACUUUAACACUGAUCCAUUUUUUGGGCUGUUGUAAAAGAUCCCUUAUGAUUUGAGAUUCACAGCAAAUUCAAGCAAGACUAAGUAAAAAUAGUGAUUCUGCUAACUAAAUUAUUAUUCAGUGGUGUAUUUCUCCUUUUAAACAACAAGCUACUGUUUCUAAAGUGUAGUGGUGCAGCAUUAUCAAAAGUUAUAGCUUUUUAAUGUCUGAGACGGGAUAAUAAUUUGGUUCUUUCUAAAUAUUAAUUUCUCUUUCAUAUGAAUUGUGAUUCAUUUCAACUAAUUGGUUCACUGAGACAAUUCAUGUUGUAAAUUAAUCACUCAUAAAAAUUCCCUUAUUGCUAUUGUGCUAGCAAAAAUAAAGUAUA